UAGCGUAGGGGGCUAGCGUUGUCCGGAAUCAUUGGGCGUAAAGCGCGUGUAGGCGGUCCGGUAAGUCCGCUGUGAAAGUCGGGGGCUCAACCCUCGAAUGCCGGUGGAUACUGUCGGGCUAGAGUGCGGAAGAGGCGGGUGGAAUUCCUGGUGUAGCGGUGGAAUGCGCAGAUAUCAGGAGGAACACCGGUGGCGAAGGCGGGUCUCUGGGCCGAUACUGACACUGAGGAGCGAAAGCGUGGGGAGCGAACAGG
rnacentral:rRNA from 1 species